GGGUUGUGAGGUUAAGUGACUAAGCGUACACGGUGGAUGCCCUGGCAGUCAGAGGCGAUGAAGGACGUGCUAAUCUGCGAUAAGCGUCGGUAAGGUGAUAUGAACCGUCAUAACCGGCGAUUUCCGAAUGGGGAAACCCAGUGUGUUUCGACACACUAUCAUUAACUGAAUCCAUAGGUUAAUGAGGCGAACCGGGGGAACUGAAACAUCUAAGUACCCCGAGGAAAAGAAAUCAACCGAGAUUCCCCCAGUAGCGGCGAGCGAACGGGGAGCAGCCC
rnacentral:rRNA from 1 species